rnacentral:lncRNA from 1 species
CAAAAUUUAAGAGUUUCUUUACAGCAGGACUUUUUGGAGCCUUGAGAUGCUAAUAAGCUUGGCAAAUUGUCAGGCGAGUCCCCCAAAUUUACUUGACUGGGAUCCUGGCAGGAAACAAAAGUGUGAAUAGAGCAAGAAAACCGGCAAGGGGAUGAUGAGGCACCCGGGGACUGGCAACAGAGGGAAGCUGCUCCCACCUGAGGCUCUACCAGGAGGGAAGAGAGCAGAGCCCGGCGGCAAGGAGCCUGGGGAAUAAAUACGCUGGCUUUUUCCUCUCUCAAUCCCUCAUACCGACUGAACCCAACCCAAAGCCAAAGGGCAUGAGAGUCCAGAUCACAUGGUAGAGGCCAGACUUCCAGGGAACAGAAUGAGACAAGGAAGGAUGGAGAAUGGGAUCCAGCCCCCAUCCCUCAUGGAACAUCUGUGAACAUCUGGGAAAACACUAGGUUUUUCCAAUGACACCAGCAUAAAGCAUCAAGUCUGCCCUGCUAGGCUGGGUGUUUGAGGCCCCCACAUCAUCAGCUUACACCAAGCUCCCUUUCUUGUCACCUCCCCACGCUACCGUGCCACAAACCCCUGCCUCUACGAAGCUGGGGAACACAUCCUCGACUUUCAGGCCUCGGCCUCUGGCUCCCAUCAUUCCCCUUGUGGAGAGAGCCAUCAUUUGCAAUUCUCAGCUAAUGUCCAUCCCUUUUUUCUUCUCCUCUAGGGACAUCGCUGGCCACUGCAGAUAAAAGUUCACUCUUAACUGGCCUCAGUGGCAGGGACCACUGUUUCCAAGUUAAAGUAGCCACUGUCUGAAAGAUGAAAGCCUGCGGCUUCCAGGAGUGAGAGGCAAUCGGAGAGAUGGUGUUUAGGUGUCCCUAAAUGUCAGAAACAAUGGAACCUUUCAGCGGCUUUGGGGGAAAGAAUAUUUGAGAUCAGGGCUGUCCUGGGAGACUCAGAAGCUUUGGCCAGGGACCUUCUGCACUUUCAACCCAGAAACUCUUUUGAUAACGAGAG